CACUCCUACGGGAGGCAGCAGUGGGGAAUAUUGGACAAUGGGAGCAAGCCUGAUCCAGCCAUGCCGCGUGAGUGAUGAAGGCCCUAGGGUUGUAAAGCUCUUUCACCGGUGAAGAUAAUGACGGUAACCGGAGAAGAAGCCCCGGCUAACUUCGUGCCAGCAGCCGCGGUAAUACGAAGGGGGCUAGCGUUGUUCGGAUUUACUGGGCGUAAAGCGCACGUAGGCGGACUAUUAAGUCAGGGGUGAAAUCCCGGGGCUCAACUCCGGAACUGCCUUUGAUACUGGUAGUCUUGAGUUCGAGAGAGGUGAGUGGAAUUCCGAGUGUAGAGGUGAAAUUCGUAGAUAUGCGGAGGAACACCAGUGGAGAAGGCGGCUCACUGGCUCGAUACUGACGCUGAGGUGCGAAAGCGUGGGGAGCAAACAGGAUUAGAAACCCUAGUAGUCCCAUA
rnacentral:rRNA from 1 species